rnacentral:rRNA from 1 species
GACGAACGCUGGCGGCGUGCCUAACACAUGCAAGUCGAACGGAAAGGCCCUGCUUUUGUGGGGUGCUCGAGUGGCGAACGGGUGAGUAACACGUGAGUAACCUGUCCCUGACUUUGGGAUAACUUCAGGCAACUGGGGCUAAUACCGGAUAGGAGCUACUGCUGCAUGGUGGGGGUUCGAUAGAUUCGGUGGUUGGGGAUGGAAUGGCGGCGUAUCGGGUUGUUGGGUGGGUAGUGGCAGAGCAAGGCUUGGAACGGUAGCCGGCCUGCGCGGGUGACCUGACACACUGGGACGGAGAUACGGCCCAGACUCCUACGGGACGCAGCAGUGGGGAAUAGUGCACAAUGGGCGGAAGCCUGAUGCAGCAACGCAGCGUGCGGGAUGACGUGCUUCGGGUUGUAUUCCGCUUUCGCCUGUGACGAAGCGUGAGUGACGGUAAUGGGUAAAGAAGCACCGGCUAACUACGUG